CUCAGGACGAACGCUGGCGGCGUGCUUAACACAUGCAAGUCGAACGAUGAAGCCCAGCUUGCUGGGUGGAUUAGUGGCGAACGGGUGAGUAAUACGUGAGUAACCUGCCUUUAACUCUGGGAUAAGCCUUGGAAACGAGGUCUAAUACCGGAUACGACCAGUUCCCGCAUGGGAUGCUGGUGGAAAGGGUUUGUACUGGUUUUAGAUGGGCUCACGGCCUAUCAGCUUGUUGGUGAGGUAACGGCUCACCAAGGCGACGACGGGUAGCCGGCCUGAGAGGGUGACCGGCCACACUGGGACUGAGACACGGCCCAGACUCCUACGGGAGGCAGCAGUGGGGAAUAUUGCACAAUGGGCGCAAGCCUGAUGCAGCGACGCCGCGUGAGGGAUGAAUGCCUUCGGGUUGUAAACCUUCUUUCAGC
rnacentral:rRNA from 1 species